rnacentral:rRNA from 1 species
CGAACCGAGCGAACGUUGUUCGGAAUCACUGGGCUUAAAGGGUGCGUAGGCGGGCUGCCAAGUUUGGGGUGUAAUCCUCCGGCUCAACCGGGGAAGUGCCUUGAAUACUGGCGGUCUCGAGGGAGGUAGGGGCGUGCGGAACUAACGGUGGAGCGGUGAAAUGCGUUGAUAUCGUUAGGAACUCCGGUGGCGAAGGCGGCACGCUAGACCUCUUCUGACGCUGAGGCACGAAAGCCAGGGGAGCGAACGGGAUUAGAUACCCCCGGUAGUCCUGGCCCUAAACGUUGAGAACUAGGUAGCAGGCCGGACAUGGGCUUGCUGCCGGAGCAAAAGUGCUAAGUUCUCCGCCUGGGGAGUAUGGUCGCAAGGCUG